rnacentral:tRNA from 1 species
ACAGCUCAGCGGUUGAACACUCGCUUCACAAGCGAUAGGUCGGUGGUUCGAACCCACCAGCG